GGAUAACGGAACAAUCCGAAAUACGAAAGCCACCUCAAAAGCCAACCAAAACAAAGCUUUCUAUCUUUUAAUCAAGAGUUCUUGAUUCUUUGAUUAGCUUGUUUUCUUGAUUACUGCCAAGUUUUUUUUUUUGUUUCUUGAUUUCUUGUUAUACUUAUAUCUUUUCUUCAAUGGCGCCAAAAACUGAAGGCAAGGCCAUUGGUAUCGAUCUUGGCACCACCUACAGCUGCGUG
rnacentral:misc_RNA from 1 species